UCCCUGGUGGCUCAGAUGGUAAAGCAUCUGCCUACAAUGCAGGAGACCAGGGGUCGAUCCCUGGGUUGGGAA
rnacentral:tRNA from 1 species